rnacentral:rRNA from 1 species
CGAACGCUGGCGGCAUGCCUAACACAUGCAAGUCGAACGAGACCUUCGGGUCUAGUGGCGCACGGGUGCGUAACGCGUGGGAACCUGCCCUUAGGUUCGGAAUAACUCCCCGAAAGGGGUGCUAAUACCGGAUAAUGUCUUCGGACCAAAGAUUUAUCGCCUUUGGGUGGGCCCGCGUUGGAUUAGCUAGUUGGUAGGGUAAAAGCCUACCAAGGCGACGAUCCAUAGCUGGUCUGAGAGGAUGAUCAGCCACACUGGGACUGAGACACGGCCCAGACUCCUACGGGAGGCAGCAGUGGGGAAUAUUGGACAAUGGGCGAAAGCCUGAUCCGGCAAUGCCGCGUGAGUGAUGAAGGCCUUAGGGUUGUAAAGCUCUUUUACCCGGGAUGAUAAUGACAGUACCGGGAGAAUAAGCUCCGGCUAACUCCGUG